GUGCCCACUUUGGUAGCACAUAUACUAAAAUUGGAACAAUAUGGAGAUUAUCAUCCCCCUUGCACAAAGAUGACAUGCAAAUUCAUGAAGUGUUCCGUAUUUCU
rfam:Otolemur garnettii contig150748, whole genome shotgun sequence.